GGGGGCAUGGUGUCUUAGUGGUUAGCACGUUUGUCUCGCACAUCCAGGGUUGGGGUUUGAUUCCCACCUUGUCCCUG